rnacentral:lncRNA from 10 species
UACUUUCUCGGAGUCUCUUUCCAGCCUCCCGACUCCAGCCACUUGGCUGGAGAGGCAGCAGGGCCGUCGCCUUGGAAACGAGUACACUUCCGACGUGCUGAGGUCAUUUCCCGUUCCUCACGGCCCACGCUACUUCCGGUUUCCUUUCCCUCAGCUAUUCCAUGGCUUUUCGUGUGGACAAAUCGGGAGGUGGUGUAAACUGGUUUUUGGUGAAAUUCGGCUCGGCCUCAUGCGAACCUAUCUAGGUCCGUCUCUGGAGUGGCCUGUCAUCGAUCGCGCCCUCCAUCGCUGAGCGACACAAGUGGAACCCCCCAGGACUGCAUUCUGCGAAACUACCCUGCUUUUCCCCCAGUUUUGGUCUGUGAACACAUUUGGGAAAUUCUUCUGAUCCUACCGCUACUCUCUUGAGAUGAAGAAACAGCUCAGAUUUGACCAAGAUCACACAAGUAGGAGUUGAGGAAUUGGAACCCACUAUGACUGACUCCAAAUUAAUAUAGUGUUUAUAGCCACUUACAUAAUAAUGGUAAAGGUUUUAUUUUUUUCACUAUA